UGAACCAACUGAGCUACAAGCCCUCCGGGAUAAACCGGAAAACCUUCCCGGGCAUCCUCUUAUAAAACGCUUAAAUUUUAUCAAGGAAAGCGUUUUUCAAAGCCCACGGUGGACUUGUUUUGUCUAGAUCGCCAGAAGGCUUGGGAUCAUCAUCUGAAGAAAGAGAAACGAAGAA
rnacentral:misc_RNA from 1 species